GGGAAUGUGGCUUAGUGGUACAGUGCUUGCCUAGCAUGCAUGAAGCCCUGGGUUCGAUUCCUCAGUACCA
rfam:Dipodomys ordii contig_37094, whole genome shotgun sequence.